rnacentral:rRNA from 1 species
UAGGGANUCUUCCGCAAUGGACGCAAGUCUGACGGAGCAACGCCGCGUGAGUGAAGAAGGUUUUCGGAUCGUAAAACUCUGUUGUUAGAGAAGAACAAGUGCUAGAGUAACUGUUAGCGCCUUGACGGUAUCUAACCAGAAAGCCACGGCUAACUACGUGCCAGCAGCCGCGGUAAUACGUAGGUGGCAAGCGUUGUCCGGAUUUAUUGGGCGUAAAGCGAGCGCAGGCGGUUCCUUAAGUCUGAUGUGAAAGCCCCCGGCUCAACCGGGGAGGGUCAUUGGAAACUGGGGAACUUGAGUGCAGAAGAGGAGAGUGGAAUUCCAUGUGUAGCGGUGAAAUGCGUAGAUAUAUGGAGGAACACCAGUGGCGAAGGCGACUCUCUGGUCUGUAACUGACGCUGAGGCUCGAAAGCGUGGGUAGCAAACAGGAUUAGAUACCCUGGUAGUCCUCGCCGUAAACGAUGAGUGCUAAGUGUUGGAGGGUUUCCGCCCUUCAGUGCUGCAGUUAACGCAUUAAGCACUCCGCCUGGGGAGUACGACCGCAAGGUUG